rnacentral:rRNA from 1 species
UACGAAGGGGGCUAGCGUUGCUCGGAAUCACUGGGCGUAAAGGGUGCGUAGGCGGGUCUUUUAAGUCAGGGGUGAAAUCCUGGAGCUCAACUCCAGAACUGCCUUUGAUACUGAGGAUCUUGAGUUCGGGAGAGGUGAGUGGAACUGCGAGUGUAGAGGUGAAAUUCGUAGAUAUUCGCAAGAACACCAGUGGCGAAGGCGGCUCACUGGCCCGAUACUGACGCUGAGGCACGAAAGCGUGGGGAGCAAACAGGAUA